rnacentral:ncRNA from 1 species
GAUAACAGGCUGAUCUCCCCCAAGAGUUCACAUCGACGGGGAGGUUUGGCACCUCGAUGUCGGCUCAUCGCAACCUGGGGCGGUAGUACGUCCCAAGGGUUGGGCUGUUCGCCCAUUAAAGCGGUACGUGAGCUGGGUUCAGAACGUCGUGAGACAGUUC